CAACCAGGAAGUUCCCUCUCCAACUUCAAGGCAGCAAAAUUGAAUGCUGGGAGCCCUGGGCACAGCUGAGGCUAAGAUUCGGAGAGAGCAAAUCUAGCCGGAGCCCAAAGGGAGGAAUGCCAGGGAAUUUCUGAAGUGGCUUAUUUCCCAGGGUUAUUGUGAAGAGUUUUAUGGCUGCAGGACUUUUAUGGUUCAAGGCUUUAAUCCAUUUUCAGUUAAGUUUUGUGUAUGGUAGAAGAUAGGAGUCCAGUUUCAUCCUUUUGAAUGUGGAUGUCAAGUUUUUCCGGCACCAUUUAUUGAAGAGACUAUCCUUUCCCCCUUGUGUAUCUGUGGCACCUUUGUCAAAAAAUAAUUGACCAUAUUUGAAUGACUGUAUUUAUUUUUGAACGUUUUCUCGAAGGAGCAAGAAAAAUAAAAAUUGUGG
rnacentral:lncRNA from 1 species